GCCGGUUUAAGAUCUUCAAAUGUUGUAAACAGGUCGUGGCCUAAUUUGCCCCCUUCAGGUUUUAUGUUGUAGGGGAGACACAAGGUUCUCCUGAGGCUGAGAUAGAUGUAUUUAUUUGUAAUUUGUAAAUGGUUUAUGUUCAGCUCUUGAUAAUGCGUGCUUAUAUGAUUCUUUUGAAUCAGGUUAAAAUGGAAUAGUGUGAUUCUUGUUCAUUGUAACUCUUGACAAUGAUGUUUUUUUUUUGGAAAAGCAACUCUUGACAAUGAUGUGAUGUUUAUAAUAUUAAAUGUGAUUUAGGAUUUAUUAUCACUGUUACGAGA
rnacentral:lncRNA from 1 species